AGGCACAAGCGGCUCUCUGUAAAUAAAUAAGUGAACUAAUUGGUUGGUUAAUUCUAAACAGAUCAUAAAUGCUCCACUUGUUUCUCAAUCACACUGAUCACUCCAGGAAGAUUAUUAAGCAAUUGUUUUGCAUACUGCAAUAAGACAGACGGAGAGAGGAGAGAGAAGGACAGACAGAGAGACUGCUCAAAUAAAAACAUGGGGAAAGACGGUGUGUAAUGUGAGUAGAUCCUAAUGAAGAAAGUCUCCCAACCACCAUGUCUGAUUCUGAUCAAACCUGAGGUUCUCUACACACCUGCACGACUAGAGGAUGAGAAGAUCCAAGUAAGAUCUUACUCUACCCUGGCACCAUUCUAGGAAUUGAAGAUAUGAUGGUAGACAAGACACAUGGGGUCCCUGCCUUUAUGGAGCCGAGAAGCCAGUGCAGAUGACAGACAGUAAUGGGUGAACAAAGAGGAACAUAUGAAUUCACACGAGAUGGAGAAAAUUGUGCCCAGUGGAGCUGUGGAAAGGUUGGAUAGAGGGUGGGGAUUACCAGACAAUAAGAGGAUGGUGGCCCUCUUAGAGGAGAUAAAAGAUCAGCAGCAAUAUGAACAAGGAGAAGGAGAGGAAACACUGGAGGAUUUCUAGGGAGAAAAAUCAGCAAGUGCUGAAAUCGAUGUGGCCAUGAGUUUGGUGUCUUAGAAACUGCACGGCUAGAAAGGAAUGAGCAAGGACAUGAUGAAGAUGAACUAGAGGGUUCUUUGGGGGCCAGAUCAUGAAGUACCGGGAAAGACAUGGCAAAGACCUUUGAUUUUAUUUUAACUGUUAUGGGAAGCUAGUGAAUCAUUUAAAUGGGGGAGUAACAUUCUGAUUUGUCAGUUAAAAUAUCACACUGGCUACUGUUAGGAGAAUAGAUUGGUGAGGGGCAUAAGUAGAAACAGUCAGGCAAAUACAAGAUGUGUUGAGCAAUGUUCAUACCUACCCAAAUCACGUCUCCUUUCUUACACAGUAAAAAAUUCAGUGCUUCUUCUGGUCAGUCCUGUGACUGCCUAGAAAAGGGUAUUUAAUCUUCUGUCCUUCAAGAAGGAGUCGCUGGUGGGGUGUAAUCAGAAGCUGGAGAGGGAGUCAGAGUCCCGUUGGCCCUUGCUCUUUCCUCCUGUCUGUGGUCAGGGGUGUGAACAUGAUGGCCAACCAGUGAUAUCGGCGUCUUGGGCCAUGGGGUUACUCUAGGAAUGCAGAGCAAGAAGGUAGAAGGAUGGGAUUCUGUGUGGAAGAAUACAGGCAAACCUCACUUCAUUGGGCUUUGCUUUAUCUUGCUUCAAACAUAUUGCACUUUAUACAAAUUGAAGUUUUGCAACAACCCUGCAUUGGGCAAGACUAUUGGGUGACAUUUAUUCAACAGCAUUUGCUCACUUCAUGUCUCUAUGUCACAUUUUGAUAAUUUAAAAAUAUUCCAAGCUUUUUCAUUAUUAUUAUAUUUGUUUUGGUGAUUUGUGAUCAGCCAUCUUUGAUGUUACUGUUGUAAUACUUUUGGUAUUUUUAGCAACAAAGUAUUUUUAACUAAGAUAUAUACAUUGCUUCUUAGACAUAAUGCUAUUGCACACUUAAGAGACUACACUGUAGUAUCAACAUAACUUUUUUAUGCACUGGGAAACCAGAACUUUCAUGUGACUCGCUUUAUUGCAUAUUCGCUUUAUUGUAAUGGUCUGGAAAAGAACCCACACUGCCUUGGAUGAAAACCUGUAAAUUUCUGUUUUGUUUAAGCCACUGACAUUUGGGGGUUUAGGUUAGGCAAAUCUAACUCCAACUAAUUCGGUAGACAACCAUGGCUUAAUGAGAUCCCAAAAAUGUUUGACUUGGGUAUAGUGUAGAAGGUGGGAUUUGUUGGGUAGCAAAGUAUAUUUUGAAAGUGGAAUCAUGAGUAUUUACUGAUCUGAAUUUUCUGGAUGAAUGUGGAGGAUGAGAGAAAGGGAGGAACCAAGGAUGGCUUCCAGGAUUUUUGCCUUGGUAACUGGAAAGUGGAUAAUAAAACAAGCUCCUGGUGUAGGAUUACAAGGGGGCAGAGUUCUAAU
rnacentral:lncRNA from 1 species